GAGGCUGGUGAUAAGGACUUUUCCCACUCGUGUUCGAGUUUCUCAGCCAUGAGAUGAGUCCACAUGCACUACCGUCUGAGGCCAC